GUGUUGUAUGAAAGGAAAGAAGGUUAGCACUCCCCUUGACAAGGAUUUAAGAGGCCCUUGGGCCUGACAACACGCACAUACGGUUAAGCCAUUAGCACCUACUUCGUGGUCUCUAACCACUGUUUUUU
ensembl:snRNA